CAUUUAAUUUCUUGGUGGUUAAGAUUUGUCCUAAUAUAUAUAUAUAUAUAUUAGGACAAAUCUUAACCACCAAGAAAUUAAAUU